rnacentral:rRNA from 1 species
GAUACAGGCUAGCGGCGGACGGGUGAGUAACACGUGGGUAACCUGCCCAAGAGAUCGGGAUAACACCUGGAAACAGAUGCUAAUACCGGAUAACAACAGAUGAUGCCUAUCAACUGUUUAAAAGAUGGUUCUGCUAUCACUCUUGGAUGGACCUGCGGUGCAUUAGCUAGUUGGUAGGGUAACGGCCUACCAAGGCGAUGAUGCAUAGCCGAGUUGAGAGACUGAUCGGCCACAUUGGGACUGAGACACGGCCCAAACUCCUACGGGAGGCAGCAGUAGGGAAUCUUCCACAAUGGACGCAAGUCUGAUGGAGCAACGCCGCGUGAGUGAAGAAGGGUUUCGGCUCGUAAAGCUCUGUUGUUGGUGAAGAA